rnacentral:lncRNA from 1 species
CCAUCCCCCAUCCCCCAUCCCCCAUGGCAGGAGAAACAGUCAAGUUUUUCCUGCCCAUCACUCAAUGGCUCAAUCGCAUCGCUCUCCCGGCAACACCGUAACGAGGAGCAACUUGCCGUUUGGAUAUAUCCUAGCUGUGUUUGUGCCCUCACUCAUGGUCCAGACUUUUUUCAAAUAGGACAUGUAGUUUGUCUGCAGCGAGUGUUUUGGUAGAAACUGCGCCUCCCAUUCAUUAUAAUGGGAAAUGACCACAGACAAGUGCGCACACCAUCUUUGGACCUUGAGUGUGACGCGAUCGGGAGGGGGAGGCGGUCGCACUGGGGGCGGCGCAACGUGGCUCGGGCCCGCCAGUGCCCCAACGGGGCCCUAGUUAGGGCCCGAGCGUAGCUGCUAAGCAGCUGCGAGAGCCCUAUUAUUCCCCAAGUGGUUUUUCUUUGUUUCUUUCUUUCUUCUUUUUCCUCCCCUUUGAACUGGAAAAUGGCCCACUUCCCACUGGCGAAAACUCAUGAAAUUUGGCAGGAUGACCGGGCCUGGUGAAAAAUUUGAUAUUCCGAAGUCGCCCAAACAAGAAAAUGCAAAAUGGCUCCAUAGCGCCCCCUAAGGUGAAAAUUCACACUAUUGACUGUCACGCCUUUAUGCUUUGUCAAAAUGACACAAAAAUUGACACACAUAUGUAUCUCAAUAAGAUCUACAAAAAAGUCAGUGCGGGCGUAUCUGUCAAAUGUACGGUUAAAGGGUUAUUCCGCAUUUUUUGCCGAUCCGCACACAUUGGAAUUUCGCUAACUCCUCCGAAGGCUUUCUUUCCACCGGCACCACAUUUGCUCAGGCCAAUCUACACCCCAUGGCCAUUAAAAAUUAUUCAAAUCAUGACGCUGCACCCCACGGUUUAGGUUCUAGGGGGCGCCAAAGAUAACCCUAAAAUCCACAAAUUUCAAAGUCUUAUAACUUUUUAUUUUUGCCCUCACUGGCCUCCAAGUUUUCUAGGAUGAUGCAAUGUCCAGCCAUCAACACAUUUGUGAAGGAAUUUUUACUCCCCAAAAGAGCGCCCCCCCAUGGCCGGAGAAAAAAGUCCAUUUUUUCUUGUCCCUUAAGGUGAAAAUACACAUUGUUGAGUGUCACGCCUGUACGCUUUGUCAUAUUGACACAAAAUUUGACACACACAUGUAUCUCAAUAAGAUCUACGAAAAAGUCAAUGCGUGCGUAUCUGUCAAAUGUACGGUUAAAGGGUUAUUCCGCAUUUUUUGCUGAUCCGCACACAUUGGAAUUUCGCUAACUCCUCCGAAGGCUUUCGUUCCACCGGCACCACAUUUGCUCAGGCCAAUCUACACCCCAUGGCCAUUAAAAGUUAUUCAAAUCAUGACGCUGCACCCCACGGUUUAGGUUCUAGGGGGCGCCAAAGAUAACACUAAAAUCCACAUAUUUAAAAGUCUUAUAACUUUUUAUUUUUUGCCCUCACUGGCCUCCAAGUUUUCUAGGAUGAUGCAAUGUCCAGCCAUCAACACAUUUGUUGAGGAAUUUUUACUCCCCAAAAGAGCGCCCCCCAUGGCAGGAGAAAAAAGUCCAUUUUUUCUUGUCCCCUAAGGUGAAAAUACACAUUGUUGAGUGUCACGCCUGUACGCUUUGUCAAAAUGACACAAAAAUUGACACACACAUGUAUCUCAAUAAGAUCUACAAAAAAGUCAAAGCGCGCGUAUCUGUCAAAUGUACGGUUAAAGGGUUAUUCCGCAUUUUUUGCCGAUCCGCACACAUUGGAAUUUCGCUAACUCCUCCGAAGGCUUUCGUUCCACCGGCACCACAUUUGCUCAGGCCAAUCUACACCCCGUGGCCAUUAAAAGUUAUUCAAAUCAUGACGCUGCACCCCACGGUUUAGGUUCUAGGGGGAGCCAAAGAUAACCGUAAAAUCCACAUAUUUAAAAGUCUUAUAACUUUUUAUUUUUGUCCCCACUGGCCUCCAAGUUUUCUAGGAUGAUGCAAUGUCCAGCCAUCAACACAUUUGUGAAGGAAUUUUUACUCCCCAAAAGAGCGCCCCCCCAUGGCAGGAGAAAAAAGUCAAUUUUUUCUUGUCCACUAAGGUGAAAAUACACAUUGUUGAGUGCUACGCCUGUAUGUUUUGUCGUAUUGACACAAAAUUUUACAUACACGUGUAUUUACAUAAGAUCUUCGAAAAAGUCAAUGGCCACGUAUCUGUAAAAUGUACGGUUAAAGGGUUAUUUCGCAUUUUUUGCAGAUUCGCACACAUUGGAAUUUCGCUAAUUCCUCCGAAGGCUUUCGUUCCACCGGCACCACAUUUGCUCAGGCCAAUCUACACCCCAUGGCCAUUAAAAGUUAUUCAAAUCAUGACGCUGCACCCCACGGUUUAGGUUCUAGGGGGCGCCAAAUAUAACCCUAAAAUCCACAUAUUUAAAAGUCUUAUAACUUUUUAUUUUUGUCCUCACUGGCCUCCAUGUUUUCUAGGAUGAUGCAAUGUCCAGCCAUCAACACAUUUGUGAAGGAGUUUUUUCUCUUUAAAAGAGCGCCCCCCCAUGGCAGGAGAAUAAAGUCAAGUUUUUCCUGUUCAUCAUUCAAUGGCUCAAACGCACUGCUCUCUCGGCAAAAGCGAAAGGAGGAGCAACUUGCCAUUUGGAUAUAUCUUAGCUGUGUUUGUGCCCUCACUCAUGGUCCAGACUUUUUUCAAAUAGGACAUGGAGUUUUUCUGCAGCGAGCGUUUUGGUAGAAACUGCGCCUCCCGUUCAUUAUAAUGGUAAAUGACCACAAACAAGUGCGCACACCAUCUUUGGACCUUGAGUGUGACGCGAUCGGGUGAGGGAGGCGGUCGCGCUGGGGGCGGCGUGACACGGCUCGGGCCCGCCAGUGCCCCAACGGGGCCCUAGUUAUUAUUUUUCCUCCCCUUUGAACUGGAAAAUGGCCCACUUCCCACUGGCGAAAACUCAUGAAAUUUGGCAGGACGACCGGGCCUGGUGAAAAAUUUGAUAUUCCGAAGUCGCCCAAACAAGAAAAUGCAAAAUGGCUCCAUAGCGCCCCCUAAGGUGAAAAUUCACACUAUUGACUGUCACGCCUGUACGCUUUGUCAAAAUGACACAAAAAUUGACACACACAUGUAUCUCAAUAAGAUCUACAAAAAAGUCAGUGCGGGCGUAUCUGUCAAAUGUACGGUUAAAGGGUUAUUUCGCAUUUUUUGCCGAUCCGCACACAUUGGAAUUUCGCUAACUCCUCCGAAGGCUUUCGUUCCACCGGCACCACAUUUGCUCAGGCCAAUCUACACCCCAUGGCCAUUAAAAGUUAUUCAAAUCAUGACGCUGCACCCCACGGUUUAGGUUCUAGGGGGCGCCAAAGAUAACCCUAAGAUCCACAUAUUUAAAAGUCUUAUAACUUUUUAUUUUUGCCCUCACUGGCCUCCAAGUUUUCUAGGAUGAUGCAAUGUCCAGCCAUCAACACAUUUGUGAAGGAAUUUUUACUCCCCAAAAGAGCGCCCCCCAUGGCAGGAGAAAAAAGUCCAUUUUUUCUUGUCCCCUAAGGUGAAAAUACACAUUGUUGAGUGUAACACCUGUACGCUUUGGCAAAAUGACACCAAAAUUGAGACACACAUGUAUCUCAAUAAGAUCUACAAAAAAGUCAAUGCGCACGUAUCUGUCAAAUGUACGGUUAAAGGGUUAUUCCGCAUUUUUUGCCGAUCCGCACACAUUGGAAUUUCGCUAACUCCUCCGAAGGCUUUCGUUCCACCGGCACCACAUUUUCUCAGGCCAAUCUACACCCCAUGGCCAUAAAAAGUUAUUCAAAUCAUGACGCUGCACCCCACGGUUUAGGUUCUAGGGGGCGCCAAAGAUAACCGUAAAAUCCACAUAUUUAAAAGUCUUAUAACUUUUUAUUUUUGUCCCCACUGGCCUCCAAGUUUUCUAGGAUGAUGCAAUGUCCAGCCAUCAACACAUUUGUGAAGGAAUUUUUACUCGCCAAAAGAGCGCCCCCCCAUGGCAGGAGAAAAAAGUCCAUUUUUUCUUGUCCCCUAAGGUGAAAAUACACAUUGUUGAGUGUAACACCUGUACGCUUUGGCAAAAUGACACAAAAAUUGACACACACAUGUAUCUCAAUAAGAUCUACGAAAAAGACAGUGCGCGCGUAUCUGUCAAAUGUACGGUUAAAGGGUUAUUCCGCACUUUUUGCCGAUCCGCACACAUUGGAAUUUCGCUAACUCCUCCGAAGGCUUUCGUUCCACCGGCACCACAUUUGCUCAGGCCAAUCUACACCCCAUGGCCAUUAAAAGUUAUUCAAAUCAUGACGCUGCACCCCACGGUUUAGGUUCUAGGGGGCGCCAAAGAUAACCCUAAAAUCCACAAAUUUCAAAGUCUUAUAACUUUUUAUUUUUGUCCCCACUGGCCUCCAAGUUUUCUAGGAUGAUGCAAUGUCCAGCCAUCAACACAUUUGUGAAGGAAUUUUUACUCGCCAAAAGAGCGCCCCCCCCAUGGCAGGAGAAAAAAGUCCAUUUUUUCUUGUCCCCUAAGGUGAAAAUACACAUUGUUGAGUGUAACACCUGUACGCUUUGGCAAAAUGACACAAAAAUUGACACACACAUGUAUCUCAAUAAGAUCUACGAAAAAGACAGUGCGCGCGUAUCUGUCAAAUGUACGGUUAAAGGGUUAUUCCGCACUUUUUGCCGAUCCGCACACAUUGGAAUUUCGCUAACUCCUCCGAAGGCUUUCGUUCCACCGGCACCACAUUUGCUCAGGCCAAUCUACACCCCAUGGCCAUUAAAAGUUAUUCAAAUCAUGACGCUGCACCCCACGGUUUAGGUUCUAGGGGGCGCCAAAGAUAACCCUAAAAUCCACAAAUUUCAAAGUCUUAUAACUUUUUAUUUUUGCCCUCACUGGCCUCCAAGUUUUCUAGGAUGAUGCAAUGUCCAGCCAUCAACACAUUUGUGAAGGAAUUUUUACUCCCCAAAAGAGCGCCCCCCCAUGGCAGGAGAAAAAAGUCCAUUUUUUCUUGUCCCAUAAGGUGAAAAAUUACACUAUUGACUGUCACGCCUGUACGCUUUGUCAAAAUUACACAAAAAUUGACACACACAUGUAUCUCAAUAAGAUCUACAAAAAAGUCAGUGCUAGCGUAUCUGUCAAAUGUACGGUUAAAGGGUUAUUGCGCAUUUUUUGCCGAUCCGCACACAUUGGAAUUUCGCUAACUCCUCCGAAGGCUUUCGUUCCACCGGCACCACAUUUGCUCAGGCCAAUCUACACCCCAUGGCCAUUAAAAGUUAUUCAAAUCAUGACGCUGCACCCCACGGUUUAGGUUCUAGGGGGCGCCAAAGAUAACCCUAAAAUCCACAUAUUUAAAAGUCUUAUAACUUUUUAUUUUUGUCCUCUCUGGCCUCCAAGUUUUCUAGGAUGAUGCAAUGUCCAGCCAUCAACACAUUUGUGAAGGAAUUUUUACUCGCCAAAAGAGCGCCCCCCCAUGGCAGGAGAAAAAAGUCCAUUUUUUCUUGUCCCAUAAGGUGAAAAUACACAUUGUUGACUGUCAUACCUGUAUGCUUUGUCAUAUUGACACAAAAUUUGACACACACAUGUAUCUCAAUAAGAUCUACGAAAAAGUCAAUGCGCGCGUAUCUGUAAAAUGUACGGUUAAAGGGCUAUUUUGCAUUUUUUGCCGAUUAGCACACAUUGGAAUGUGGCUAACUCCUCCUAAGGCUUUCGUCCCACUGACACCAAAUUUGCUCAGGCCAAUCUACACCCCAUGGCCAUUCAAAGUUUUAAAAAUCAUGAUGCUGCACCCCACGGUUUACGUUCUAGGGGGCGCCAAAGAUGACCCAAAUAUCCACAUUCUUAAAAGAAUCCACAUCGCCCCCCCCCCCCCCAUCCCCCAUCCCCCAUCCCCCAUGGCAGGAGAAACAGUCAAGUUUUUCCUGCCCAUCACUCAAUGGCUCAAUCGCAUCGCUCUCCUGGCAACACCGUAACGAGGAGCAACUUGCCGUUUGGAUAUAUCCUAGCUGUGUUUGUGCCCUCACUCAUGGUCCAGACUUUUUUCAAAUAGGACAUGUAGUUUGUCUGCAGCGAGUGUUUUGGUAGAAACUGCGCCUCCCAUUCAUUAUAAUGGGAAAUGACCACAGACAAGUGCGCACACCAUCUUUGGACCUUGAGUGUGACGCGAUCGGGAGGGGGAGGCGGUCGCACUGGGGGCGGCGCAACGCGGCUCGGGCCCGCCAGUGCCCCAACGGGGCCCUAGUUAGGGCCCGAGCGUAGCUGCUAAGCAGCUGCGAGAGCCCUAUUAUUCCCCAAGUGGUUUUUCUUUGUUUCUUUCUUUCUUCUUUUUCCUCCCCUUUGAACUGGAAAAUGGCCCACUUCCCACUGGCGAAAACUCAUGAAAUUUGGCAGGAUGACCGGGCCUGGUGAAAAAUUUGAUAUUCCGAAGUCGCCCAAACAAGAAAAUGCAAAAUGGCUCCAUAGCGCCCCCUAAGGUGAAAAUUCACACUAUUGACUGUCACGCCUUUAUGCUUUGUCAAAAUGACACAAAAAUUGACACACAUAUGUAUCUCAAUAAGAUCUACAAAAAAGUCAGUGCGGGCGUAUCUGUCAAAUGUACGGUUAAAGGGUUAUUCCGCAUUUUUUGCCGAUCCGCACACAUUGGAAUUUCGCUAACUCCUCCGAAGGCUUUCUUUCCACCGGCACCACAUUUGCUCAGGCCAAUCUACACCCCAUGGCCAUUAAAAAUUAUUCAAAUCAUGACGCUGCACCCCACGGUUUAGGUUCUAGGGGGCGCCAAAGAUAACCCUAAAAUCCACAAAUUUCAAAGUCUUAUAACUUUUUAUUUUUGCCCUCACUGGCCUCCAAGUUUUCUAGGAUGAUGCAAUGUCCAGCCAUCAACACAUUUGUGAAGGAAUUUUUACUCCCCAAAAGAGCGCCCCCCCAUGGCCGGAGAAAAAAGUCCAUUUUUUCUUGUCCCUUAAGGUGAAAAUACACAUUGUUGAGUGUCACGCCUGUACGCUUUGUCAUAUUGACACAAAAUUUGACACACACAUGUAUCUCAAUAAGAUCUACGAAAAAGUCAAUGCGUGCGUAUCUGUCAAAUGUACGGUUAAAGGGUUAUUCCGCAUUUUUUGCUGAUCCGCACACAUUGGAAUUUCGCUAACUCCUCCGAAGGCUUUCGUUCCACCGGCACCACAUUUGCUCAGGCCAAUCUACACCCCAUGGCCAUUAAAAGUUAUUCAAAUCAUGACGCUGCACCCCACGGUUUAGGUUCUAGGGGGCGCCAAAGAUAACACUAAAAUCCACAUAUUUAAAAGUCUUAUAACUUUUUAUUUUUUGCCCUCACUGGCCUCCAAGUUUUCUAGGAUGAUGCAAUGUCCAGCCAUCAACACAUUUGUUGAGGAAUUUUUACUCCCCAAAAGAGCGCCCCCCCAUGGCAGGAGAAAAAAGUCCAUUUUUUCUUGUCCCCUAAGGUGAAAAUACACAUUGUUGAGUGUCACGCCUGUACGCUUUGUCAAAAUGACACAAAAAUUGACACACACAUGUAUCUCAAUAAGAUCUACAAAAAAGUCAAAGCGCGCGUAUCUGUCAAAUGUACGGUUAAAGGGUUAUUCCGCAUUUUUUGCCGAUCCGCACACAUUGGAAUUUCGCUAACUCCUCCGAAGGCUUUCGUUCCACCGGCACCACAUUUGCUCAGGCCAAUCUACACCCCAUGGCCAUUAAAAGUUAUUCAAAUCAUGACGCUGCACCCCACGGUUUACGUUCUAGGGGGCGCCAAAGAUAACCCAAAAAUCCACAUUUUUAAAAGUCUUAUAACUUUUUAUUUUUGUCCUCACUGGCCUCCAAGUUUUCUAGGAUGAUGCAAUGUCCAGCCAUCAACACAUUUGUGAAGGAAUUUUUACUCCCUAAAAGAGCGCCCCCCCAUGGCAGGAGAAAAAAGUCCAUUUUUUCUUGUCCCCUAAGGUGAAAAUACACAUUGUUGACUGUCACGCCUGAACGCUUUGGCAAAAUGACACAAAAAUUGACAAUCAUGUGUAUCUCAAUUAGAUCUACGAAAAAGUCAAAGAGCGCGUAUCUGUAUAAUGUACGGUAAAAGGGCUAUAUUGCAUUUUUUGCCGAUUCGCACACAUUGGAAUUUCGCUAACUCCUCCUAAGGCUUUCGUCCCACUGACACCAAAUUUGCUCAGGCCAAUCUACACUCCAUGGCCAUUCAAAGUUGUAAAAAUCAUGACGCUGCACCCCACGGUUUACGUUUUAGGGGGCGCCAAAGAUGACCCAAAUAUACAUUACAGUAGACAAAGUAGUUUUGCCCACUGAGUGGCGCCAAAGGGACUUGUCUGUGGAGUCUGUGAGUCACUAUUGGCCGUUUUUGACUACUUUAGAUUUUACCUUUAUAUUUCCUCUUACAAAAUUUUUACCUUGCCUUGCCUGGUAUCAUUUUUUUCAGCACAACCUCACCUGUGUCAAUUUACAGUUAUUUUAUCAUUUUGACAUACUAUAUUUACACAUUGGACCCAAAUUCACACACAAAACAUAAAAUCCGAGUGGAAAAAAGUAACGUUUUUACUGUGAAAACCACAAAUAUGUGUGAUGAACUGUUUUUAAAACUUAAACUUCAAAUAAAAAUUGUAAACUUCAAAACAUAUGCAAAUUUUUAACAAAGAACAUAGUAAUUUACCUCUAUUUACAUCAAAAUGCAGGCAAUGGCCCAGGUGUUCUUUGUAAAAUUAUUUACAAAACACUGUAUAGUCUCACAAAUGUCACUUUUUAUUUAUGCCACUACAAAAAAACAUGAUGUAAAUGAUGCAUGAUGUAAAACAUGAUGUAAAAAACUUGUGUAGAUCCUCCUCUAUGUUAGUCCAUGUGUAAUUUUUCCAUAAUUCUUUGUUUUUUGCAGCAUUUUUGUUAGUGUAACUGCAGAUUGUGCUGACAGUGUCUAUGGCAAAAAAAAAAAAAAACAACUGAAAAUGCCUCAACAUGAACCCCUGGUGGUCUCUGAGGGUGAAACCUGCUAACUGCUGCAGCUCUGUCAGCUUCAGUCUCCCAUGCAGAGCUCGGAGCGCAUGUGUGGCUCUGCACCCUUAGCAGCGUUGCUAACUCCUCAGUAAGGAAAGCCUGCUUCAUGUCAGAGUCUCUAAACUCCAGAAGAAGUCGAUAAAAGUCACUUUCUUUCUAAAAAAAAGUCGUUAGGGGGUCUGAAAAGUCAUUGAAUCUAACAACAAAGUCGCUAGGUUUGCAACUACGUGUCCCAGACUGCAUCCCUGCUGAGAGUCCCUCCCUCCCUUCUCAUAUUGCAGGAAGAACGUAAGCGCCCGCCCCUUGUCAAUCAGUCACCAUAUAAUUUUGGAUUGGUUGUUGUGGUGAAGUUUUCCACCAAUAGGAGAGAUGUUGUGGUGUGUUUUUUUUUUCCUUUGGCAAGCCUUUUCCGCUGUAAGACCUGUCGCUAAUGUCUGCAUGCUAUGUUUUCCUGUCUCAUACAGCGCGAUCGAGCGCCGAACGUGAUCAAAAUAAGCUGAAAACAAGUAUCGCGGACAUAAUUUAUCAUAACUGGUUUUAUUUGGCCUAUCAACACAAUUUAAAAACUGGUAUAUAGGUUGAGGUCCUCACUUUUGAGAUAAGUUGAAACGGAGAGUCAAUGAGGCUCCGUCUUGCAGCUACAUCCGGUUAAAUAUGUCGUGUGACUUGAAGGCACACACACACACACACACACACACACACACACACACAGACACACACACACACACACGCACACACACAAACCCAGAGUCUGGUUUUUAGCACCUGCAAAAACAUGCUAUUUACAUAUUUGACAAGAAUGCAGAGGCUCCUUUUGCCCCUGAAAAAAAUCAGAUUUCAAACACAACUUGACUGGUCAUUUCUCCAAAAGACAACCAUGAAGCUCCAUCCAAACCUGAAGCAGGCAGUUGGUGCAUGUGUACAGUAACCUGAGGGGAGUGAGGUGACUGCUUCUGAGGAGAACAUGAGCAGUGAAGAUUCACCUUAGAGCUAGAACAGAGACGUGCACAUGAUUAUACAGGGGCAGGGGCUCAAGUUUUUUCCAGUUGUUUAUACAAUAUGGAAAUUAAUGUGAAAUUAAAAAACAAAGUAUUAAUAGAAAGGUAAUGACUGUCCUGUGUAGGUGACAGUGAUAUCCAAUAGGCUAGGCACUCACGAGGCUGGCUGUGGCAAGUGUAAGUGAAAGCAACACGCACUGGCAGGAAGAACAGCAAACGCCGAUGAAGGAAAAGGGUCUUUGCAGUGAUGGGCGUUACCAGAGAGGGCGAUGGCCAGAGGACGCGAAUGGGACGGGGAGGCAGCACGUUGGGGGGGGGGACGCGACACAGCUCGGGCCCGCCAGUGCCCCAACGGGGUCCUAGUUAGGGCCCGAGCGUAGCUGCUAAGCAGCUGCGAGAGCCCUAUUAUUCCCCAAGUGGUUUUUCUUUGUUUCUUUCUUUCUUCUUUUUCCUCCCCUUUGAACUGGAAAAUGGCCCACUUCCCACUGGCGAAAACUCAUGAAAUUUGGCAGGAUGACCGGGCCUGGUGAAAAAUUUGAUAUUCCGAAGUCGCCCAAACAAGAAAAUGCAAAAUGGCUCCAUAGCGCCCCCUAAGGUGAAAAUUCACACUAUUGACUGUCACGCCUUUACGCUUUGUCAAAAUGACACAAAAAUUGACACACAUAUGUAUCUCAAUAAGAUCUACAAAAAAGUCAGUGCGGGCGUAUCUGUCAAAUGUACGGUUAAAGGGUUAUUCCGCAUUUUUUGCCGAUCCGCACACAUUGGAAUUUCGCUAACUCCUCCGAAGGCUUUCUUUCCACCGGCACCACAUUUGCUCAGGCCAAUCUACACCCCAUGGCCAUUAAAAGUUAUUCAAAUCAUGACGCUGCACCCCACGGUUUAGGUUCUAGGGGGCGCCAAAGAUAACCCUAAAAUCCACAUAUUUAAAAGUCUUAUAACUUUUUAUUUUUGCCCUCACUGGCCUCCAAGUUUUCUAGGAUGAUGCAAUGUCCAGCCAUCAACACAUUUGUGAAGGAAUUUUUACUCCCCAAAAGAGCGCCCCCCCAUGGCCGGAGAAAAAAGUCCAUUUUUUCUUGUUAUUAUUAUUUUUCCUCCGCUUUAAACUGGAAAAUGGCCGACUUCCCACUGGCGAAAACUCAUGAAAUUUGGCAGGACGACCGGGCCUGGUGAAAAAUUCGAUAUUCUGAAGUCGCCCAAACAAUAAAAUGCAAAAUGGCUCCAUAGCGCCCCCUAAGGCGAAAAUUCACACUAUUGACUGUCACGCCUGUACGCUUUGUCAUAUUGACACAAAAAUUGACACACACGUGUAUCUCAAUACGUUCUACGAAAAAGUCAGCGCGGGCGCAUCUGUGAAAUGUAAUGUUAGAGGGUUAUUUCGCAUUUUUUGCCGAUCUGCACACAUUGGAAUUUCGCUAACUCCUCCGAAGGCAUUCGUUCCACCAGCACCACAUUUGCUCAGGCCAAUCUACACCCCAUGGCCAUUAAAAGUUGUACAAAUCAUGACGCUGCACCCCACAGUUUACGUUCUAGGGGGCGCCAAAGAUAACCCAAAAAUCCACAGUCUUAAAAGUCUUAUAACUUUUUAUUUUUGUCCUCACUGGCCUCCAAGUUCUCUAGGAUGAUGCAAUGUCCAGCCAUCAACACAUUUGUGAAGGAAUUUUUACUCCCCAAAAGAGCGCCCCCACAUGGCAGGAGAAAAAAGUCCAUUUUUUCUUGUCCCCUAAGGUGAAAAUACACAUUGUUGAGUGUCACGCCUAUACGCUUUGUCAUAUUGACCCAAAAUUUGACAAUCACGUGUAUCUCAAUAAGAUCUACGAAAAAGUCAAUGGGCACGUAUCUGUAAAAUGUAUGGUUAAAGGGCUAUUUCGCAUUUUUUGCAGAUUCGCACACAUUGGAAUGUGGCUAACUCCUCCUAAGGCUUUCUUCCCACCGACACCAAAUUUGCUCAAGCCGAUCUACAUCCCAUGGCCAUUCAAAGUUGUAAAAAUCAUGCCGCUGCACCCCAUGGUUUACGUUCUAGGGGGCGCCAAAGAUGACCCAAAUAUCCACAUUCUUAAAAGUCGUUUUGGCCACUGCAGGAGUACAGAGUACUGCAGGAUACACACACACAGACACACACAAACACAGACACACACACACACACACACACACACACACACACACACACACACACACACACACACACACACACACUCAGAGUCUGUUUUUUAGCACCUGCAAAAACAUGCUAUUUACAUAUUUGACAACAAUGCAGAGGCUCCUUUUGCCCCUGAAAAAAAUCAAAUUUCAAACACAACUUGACUGGUCAUUUCUCCAAAAGACAACCAUGAAGCUCCAUCCAAACCUGAAGCAGGCAGUUGGUGCAUGUGUACAGUUACCUGAGGGGAGUGAGGUGAGUGCUUCUGAGGAGAACAUGAGCAGUGAAGAUUCACCUUGGAGCGAGAACAGGGACGUGCACAUGAUUAUACAGGGGCAGGGGCUCAAGUUUUUUCCAGUCGUUUAUACAAUAUGGAAAUUAAUGUGAAAUUAAAAAACAAAGUAUUAAUAGAAAGGUAAUGACUGUCCUGUGUAGGUGACAGUGAUAUCCAAUAGGCUAGGCACUCACGAGGCUGGCUGUGGCAAGUGUAAGUGAAAGCAACACGCACUGGCAGGAAGAACAGCAAACGCCGAUGAAGGAAAAGGGUCUUUGCAGUGAUGGGCGUUACCAGAGAGGACGAUGGCCAGAGGACGCGAAUGGGACGGGGAGGCAGCGCGUUGGGGGGGGGGGGGCGCGACACAGCUCGGGCCCGCCAGUGCCCCAACGGGGCCCUAGUUUGUUAUUAUUAUUAUUAUUUUUCCUCCCCUUUGAACUGGAAAAUGGCCCACUUCCCACUGGCGAAAACUCAUGAAAUUUGGCAGGACGACCGGGCCUGGUGAAAAAUUUGAGAUUCCGAAGUCGCCCAAACAAGAAAAUGCAAAAUGGCUCCAUAGCGCCCCCUAAGGUGAAAAUUCACACUAUUGACUGUCACGCCGGUACGCUUUGUCAAAAUGACACAAAAAUUGACACACACAUGUAUCUCAAUAAGAUCUACAAAAAAGUCAGUGCGGGCGUAUCUGUCAAAUGUACGGUUAAAGGGUUAUUUCGCAUUUUUUGCCGAUCCGCACACAUUGGAAUUUCGCUAACUCCUCCGAAGGCUUUCGUUCCACCGGCACCACAUUUGCUCAGGCCAAUCUACACCCCAUGGCCAUUAAAAGUUAUUCAAAUCAUGACGCUGCACCCCACGGUUUAGGUUCUAGGGGGCGCCAAAGAUAACCCUAAGAUCCACAUAUUUAAAAGUCUUAUAACUUUUUAUUUUUGCCCUCACUGGCCUCCAAGUUUUCUAGGAUGAUGCAAUGUCCAGCCAUCAACACAUUUGUGAAGGAAUUUUUACUCCCCAAAAGAGCGCCCCCCCAUGGCAGGAGAAAAAAGUCCAUUUUUUCUUGUCCCCUAAGGUGAAAAUACACAUUGUUGAGUGUAACACCUGUACGCUUUGGCAAAAUGACACAAAAAUUGACACACACAUGUAUCUCAAUAAGAUCUACGAAAAAGUCAAUGCGCGCGUAUCUGUCAAAUGUACGGUUAAAGGGUUAUUCCGCAUUUUUUGCCGAUCCGCACACAUUGGAAUUUCGCUAACUCCUCCGAAGGCUUUCGUUCCACCGGCACCACAUUUGCUCAGGCCAAUCUACACCCCGUGGCCAUUAAAAGUUAUUCAAAUCAUGACGCUGCACCCCACGGUUUAGGUUCUAGGGGGAGCCAAAGAUAACCGUAAAAUCCACAUAUUUAAAAGUCUUAUAACUUUUUAUUUUUGUCCCCACUGGCCUCCAAGUUUUCUAGGAUGAUGCAAUGUCCAGCCAUCAACACAUUUGUGAAGGAAUUUUUACUCCCCAAAAGAGCGCCCCCCCAUGGCAGGAGAAAAAAGUCAAUUUUUUCUUGUCCACUAAGGUGAAAAUACACAUUGUUGAGUGCUACGCCUGUAUGUUUUGUCGUAUUGACACAAAAUUUUACAUACACGUGUAUUUACAUAAGAUCUUCGAAAAAGGCAAUGGCCACGUAUCUGUAAAAUGUACGGUUAAAGGGUUAUUUCGCAUUUUUUGCAGAUUCGCACACAUUGGAAUUUCGCUAAUUCCUCCGAAGGCUUUCGUUCCACCGGCACCACAUUUGCUCAGGCCAAUCUACACCCCAUGGCCAUUAAAAGUUAUUCAAAUCAUGACGCUGCACCCCACGGUUUAGGUUCUAGGGGGCGCCAAAUAUAACCCUAAAAUCCACAUAUUUAAAAGUCUUAUAACUUUUUAUUUUUGUCCUCACUGGCCUCCAUGUUUUCUAGGAUGAUGCAAUGUCCAGCCAUCAACACAUUUGUGAAGGAGUUUUUUCUCUUUAAAAGAGCGCCCCCCAUGGCAGGAGAAUAAAGUCAAGUUUUUCCUGUUCAUCAUUCAAUGGCUCAAACGCACUGCUCUCUCGGCAAAAGCGAAAGGAGGAGCAACUUGCCAUUUGGAUAUAUCUUAGCUGUGUUUGUGCCCUCACUCAUGGUCCAGACUUUUUUCAAAUAGGACAUGGAGUUUUUCUGCAGCGAGCGUUUUGGUAGAAACUGCGCCUCCCGUUCAUUAUAAUGGUAAAUGACCACAAACAAGUGCGCACACCAUCUUUGGACCUUGAGUGUGACGCGAUCGGGUGAGGGAGGCGGUCGCGCUGGGGGCGGCGUGACACGGCUCGGGCCCGCCAGUGCCCCAACGGGGCCCUAGUUAUUAUUUUUCCUCCCCUUUGAACUGGAAAAUGGCCCACUUCCCACUGGCGAAAACUCAUGAAAUUUGGCAGGACGACCGGGCCUGGUGAAAAAUUUGAUAUUCCGAAGUCGCCCAAACAAGAAAAUGCAAAAUGGCUCCAUAGCGCCCCCUAAGGUGAAAAUUCACACUAUUGACUGUCACGCCUGUACGCUUUGUCAAAAUGACACAAAAAUUGACACACACAUGUAUCUCAAUAAGAUCUACAAAAAAGUCAGUGCGGGCGUAUCUGUCAAAUGUACGGUUAAAGGGUUAUUUCGCAUUUUUUGCCGAUCCGCACACAUUGGAAUUUCGCUAACUCCUCCGAAGGCUUUCGUUCCACCGGCACCACAUUUGCUCAGGCCAAUCUACACCCCAUGGCCAUUAAAAGUUAUUCAAAUCAUGACGCUGCACCCCACGGUUUAGGUUCUAGGGGGCGCCAAAGAUAACCCUAAGAUCCACAUAUUUAAAAGUCUUAUAACUUUUUAUUUUUGCCCUCACUGGCCUCCAAGUUUUCUAGGAUGAUGCAAUGUCCAGCCAUCAACACAUUUGUGAAGGAAUUUUUACUCCCCAAAAGAGCGCCCCCCCAUGGCAGGAGAAAAAAGUCCAUUUUUUCUUGUCCCCUAAGGUGAAAAUACACAUUGUUGAGUGUAACACCUGUACGCUUUGGCAAAAUGACACCAAAAUUGAGACACACAUGUAUCUCAAUAAGAUCUACAAAAAAGUCAAUGCGCACGUAUCUGUCAAAUGUACGGUUAAAGGGUUAUUCCGCAUUUUUUGCCGAUCCGCACACAUUGGAAUUUCGCUAACUCCUCCGAAGGCUUUCGUUCCACCGGCACCACAUUUUCUCAGGCCAAUCUACACCCCAUGGCCAUUAAAAGUUAUUCAAAUCAUGACGCUGCACCCCACGGUUUAGGUUCUAGGGGGCGCCAAAGAUAACCGUAAAAUCCACAUAUUUAAAAGUCUUAUAACUUUUUAUUUUUGUCCCCACUGGCCUCCAAGUUUUCUAGGAUGAUGCAAUGUCCAGCCAUCAACACAUUUGUGAAGGAAUUUUUACUCGCCAAAAGAGCGCCCCCCAUGGCAGGAGAAAAAAGUCCAUUUUUUCUUGUCCACUAAGGUGAAAAUACACAUUGUUGAGUGCUACGCCUGUAUGUUUUGUCGUAUUGACACAAAAUUUUACAUACACGUGUCUUUCAAUAAGAUCUUCGAAAAAGUCAAUGGCCACGUAUCUGUAAAAUGUACGGUUAAAGGGUUAUUUCGCAUUUUUUGCAGAUUCGCACACAUUGGAAUUUCGCUAACUCCUCCGAAGGCUUUCGUUCCACCGGCACCACAUUUGCUCAGGCCAAUCUACACCCCAUGGCCAUUAAAAGUUAUUCAAAUCAUGACGCUGCACCCCACGGUUUAGGUUCUAGGGGGCGCCAAAGAUAACCCUAAAAUCCACAUAUUUAAAAGUCUUAUAACUUUUUAUUUUUGUCCUCACUGGCCUCCAUGUUUUCUAGGAUGAUGCAAUGUCCAGCCAUCAACACAUUUGUGAAGGAGUUUUUUCUCGUUAAAAGAGCGCCCCCCAUGGCAGGAGAAUAAAGUCAAGUUUUUCCUGUUCAUCAUUCAAUGGCUCAAACGCACUGCUCUCUCGGCAAAAGCGAAAGGAGGAGCAACUUGCCAUUUGGAUAUAUCUUAGCUGUGUUUGUGCCCUCACUCAUGGUCCAGACUUUUUUCAAAUAGGACAUGGAGUUUUUCUGCAGCGAGCGUUUUGGUAGAAACUGCGCCUCCCGUUCAUUAUAAUGGUAAAUGACCACAAACAAGUGCGCACACCAUCUUUGGACCUUGAGUGUGACGCGAUCGGGUGGGGGAGGCGGUCGUGCUGGGGGCGGCGUGACACGGCUCGGGCCCGCCAGUGCCCCAACGGGGCCCUAGUCUUCUUGUUAUUUUUCUGCCCCUUUGAACUAGAAAAUGGCCCACUUCCCACUGGUGAAAACUCAUGAAAUUUGGCAGGACGACCGGGCCUGGUGAAAAAUUCGAUAUUCUGAAGUCGCCCAAACAAUCAAAUGCAAAAUGGCUCCAUAGCGCCCCCUUAGGUGAAAAAUUCACAUGAUUGAGUGUCACACCUGUACGCUUUGUCAAAAUGACACAAAAUUUGACACACACGUGUAUCUCAAUAAGAUCUACAAAAAAGUCUAUGCGCACGUAUCUGUCAAAUGUACGGUUAAAGGGCUAUUUUGCAUUUUUUGCGGAACCGCACACAUUGGAAUUUCGCUAACUCCUCCGAAGGCUUUCAUUCCACCGGCACCAAAUUUGCUCAGGCCAAUCUACACCCCAUGGCCAUUAAAAGUUGUACAAAUCAUGACGCUGCACCCCACGGUUUACGUUCUAGGGGGCGCCAAAGAUAACCCAAAAAUCCACAUUCUUAAAAGUCUAAUAACUUUUUAUUUUUGCCCUCACUGGCCUCCAAGUUUUCUAGGAUGAUGCAAUGACCAGCCAUCAACACAUUUGUGAAGGAAUUUUUACUCCCCAAAAGAGCGCCCCCCCAUGGCAGGAGAAAAAAGUCCAUUUUUUCUUGUCCCCUAAGGUGAAAAUACAUAUUGUUGAGUGUCACGCCUAUACGCUUUGUCAUAUUGAAAUAAAAUUUGACACACACGUGUAUCUCAAUAAGAUCUACAAAAAAGUCUAUGCGCACGUAUCUGUCAAAUGUACGGUUAAAGGGCUAUUUUGCAUUUUUUGCGGAACCGCACACAUUGGAAUUUCGCUAACUCCUCCGAAGGCUUUCGUUCCACCGGCACCAAAUUUGCUCAGGCCAAUCUACACCCCAUGGCCAUUAAAAGUUGUACAAAUCAUGACGCUGCACCCCACGGUUUACGUUCUAGGGGGCGCCAAAAAUAACCCAAAAAUCCACAGUCUUAAAAGUCUUAUAACUUUUUAUUUUUGUCCUCACUGGCCUCCAGGUUUUCUAGGAUGAUGCAAUGUCCAGCCAUCAACACAUUUGUGAAGGAAUUUUUACUCCCCAAAAGAGCGCCCCCCCAUGGCAGGAGAAAAAAGUCCAUUUUUUCUUGUCCCAUAAGGUGAAAAUACACAUUGUUGAGUGUCACGCCUGUACGCUUUGUCAUAUUGAAACAAAAUUUGACAAUCACGUGUAUCUCAAUAAGAUCUACGAAAAAGUCAAUGCGCACGUAUCUGUCAAAUAUACGGUUAAAGGGCUAUUUUGCAUUUUUUGCGGAACCGCACACAUUGGAAUUUCGCUAACUCCUCCGAAGGCUUUCGUUCCACCGGCACCAAAUUUGCUCAGGCCAAUCUACACCCCAUGGCCAUUAAAAGUUGUACAAAUCAUGACGCUGCACCCCACGGUUUACGUUCUAGGGGGCGCCAAAAAUAACCCAAAAAUCCACAGUCUUAAAAGUCUUAUAACUUUUUAUUUUUGUCCUCACUGGCCUCCAGGUUUUCUAGGAUGAUGCAAUGUCCAGCCAUCAACACAUUUGUGAAGGAAUUUUUACUCCCCAAAAGAGCGCCCCCCCAUGGCAGGAGAAAAAAGUCCAUUUUUUCUUGUCCCAUAAGGUGAAAAUACACAUUGUUGAGUGUCACGCCUGUACGCUUUGUCAUAUUGAAACAAAAUUUGACAAUCACGUGUAUCUCAAUAAGAUCUACGAAAAAGUCAAUGCGCACGUAUCUGUAAAAUGUACGGUUAAAGGGCUAUUACGCAUUUUUGAUUGAUUCGCACACAUUGGAAUGUGGCUAACUCCUCCUAAAGCUUUCGUUCCACCGGCACCACAUUUGCUCAGGCCAAUCUACACCCCAUGGCCAUUAAAAGUUGUACAAAUCAUGACGCUGCACCCCACGGUUUACGUUCUAGGGGGCGCCAAAAAUAACCCAAAAAUCCACAGUCUUAAAAGUCUUAUAACUUUUUAUUUUUGUCCUCACUGGCCUCCAAGUUUUCUAGGAUGAUGCAAUGUCCAGCCAUCAACACAUUUGUGAAGGAAUUUUUACUCCCCAAAAGAGCGCCCCCCCAUGGCAGGAGAAAAAAGUCCAUUUUUUCUUGUCCCAUAAGGUGAAAAUACACAUUGUUGAGUGUCACGCCUGUACGCUUUGUCAUAUUGAAACAAAAUUUGACAAUCACGUGUAUCUCAAUAAGAUCUACGAAAAAGUCAAUGCGCACGUAUCUGUAAAAUGUACGGUUAAAGGGCUAUUACGCAUUUUUGAUCGAUUCGCACACAUUGGAAUGUGGCUAACUCCUCCUAAAGCUUUCGUUCCACCGGCACCACAUUUGCUCAGGCCAAUCUACACCCCAUGGCCAUUAAAAGUUGUACAAAUCAUGACGCUGCACCCCACGGUUUACGUUCUAGGGGGCGCCAAAGAUAACCCAAAAAUCCACAUUCUUAAAAGUCUUAUAACUUUUCAUUUUUGUCCUCACUGGCUUCCAAGUUUUCUAGGCUGAUGCAAUGUCUAGCCAUCAACACAUUUGUGAAGGAAUUUUUACUCCCCAAAAGAGCGCCCCCCCCCCAUGGCAGGAGAAAAAGUCAAGUUUUUCCUGCCCAUCGCUCAAUGGCUCAAACACAUGUCAUGUGUUCAAACUCCUCCGAAAGGAGGAGCAACUUGCCAUUUGGAUAUAUCCUAGCUGUGUUUGUGCCCUCACUCAUGGAUCAGACUUUUUUCAAAUAGGACAUGUAGUUUGUCUGCAGCGAGUGUUUUGGUAGAAACUGCGCCUCCCAUUCAUUAUAAUGGGAAAUGACCACAGACAAGUGCGCACACCAUCUUUGGACCUUGAGUGUGACGCGAUCGGGAGGGGGAGGCGGUCGCGCUGGGGGCGGCGCAACGCGGCUCGGGCCCGACAGUGCCCCAACGGGGCCCUAGUUAUUAUUUUUCCUCCCCUUUGAACUGGAAAAUGGCCCACUUCCCACUGGCGAAAACUCAUGAAAUUUGGCAGGACGACCGGGCCUGGUGAAAAAUUUGAUAUUCUGAAGUCGCCCAAACAAUACAAUGCAAAAUGGCUCCAUAGCGCCCCCUAAGGUGAAAAAUUCACCUGACGCCUGUACGCUUUGUCAAAAUGACACAAAAAUUGAAACACACAUGUAUCUCAAUAAGAUCUAUAAAAAAGUCAGUGCGGGCGUAUCUGUCAAAUGUACGGUUAAAGGGUUAUUUCGCAUUUUUUGCCGAUCCGCACACAUUGGAAUUUCGCUAACUCCUCCGAAGGCUUUCGUUCCACCGGCACCACAUUUGCUCAGGCCAAUCUACACCCCAUGGCCAUUAAAAGUUAUUCAAAUCAUGACGCUGCACCCCACGGUUUAUGUUCUAGGGGGCGCCAAAGAUAACCCUAAAAUCCACAUAUUUCAAAGUCUUAUAACUUUUUAUUUUUGCCCUCACUGGCCUCCAAGUUUUCUAGGAUGAUGCAAUGUCCAGCCAUCAACACAUUUGUGAAGGAAUUUUUACUCCCCAAAAGAGCGCCCCCCCAUGGCAGGAGAAAAAAGUCCAUUUUUUCUUGUUCCAUAAGGUGAAAAUUCACACUAUUGACUGUCACGCCUGUACGCUUUGUCAAAAUUACACAAAAAUUGACACACACAUGUAUCUCAAUAAGAUCUACAAAAAAGUCAGUGCGGGCGUAUCUGUCAAAUGUACGGUUAAAGGGUUAUUGCGCAUUUUUUGCCGAUCCGCACACAUUGGAAUUUCGCUAACUCCUCCGAAGGCUUUCGUUCAACCGGCACCACAUUUGCUCAGGCCAAUCUACACCCCAUGGCCAUUAAAAGUUAUUCAAAUCAUGACGCUGCACCCCACGGUUUAGGUUCUAGGGGGCGCCAAAGAUAACCCUAAAAUCCACAUAUUUAAAAGUCUUAUAACUUUUUAUUUUUGUCCUCUCUGGCCUCCAAGUUUUCUAGGAUGAUGCAAUGUCCAGCCAUCAACACAUUUGUGAAGGAAUUUUUACUCCCUAAAAGAGCGCCCCCCCAUGGCAGGAGAAAAAAGUCCAUUUUUUAUUGUCCCAUAAGGUGAAAAUACACAUUGUUGACUGUCAUACCUGUAUGCUUUGUCAUAUUGACACAAAAUUUGACACACACAUGUAUCUCAAUAAGAUCUACGAAAAAGUCAAUGCGCGCGUAUCUGUAAAAUGUACGGUUAAAGGGCUAUUUUGCAUUUUUUGCCGAUUAGCACACAUUGGAAUGUGGCUAACUCCUCCUAAGGCUUUCGUCCCACUGACACCAAAUUUGCUCAGGCCAAUCUACACCCCAUGGCCAUUCAAAGUUUUAAAAAUCAUGACGCUGCACCCCACGGUUUACGUUCUAGGGGGCGCCAAAGAUAACCCUAAAAUCCACAUAUUUAAAAGUCUUAUAACUUUUUAUUUUUGUCCUCACUGGCCUCCAAGUUUUCUAGGAUGAUGCAAUGUCCAGCCAUCAACACAUUUGUGAAGGAAUUUUUACUCCCCAAAAGAGCGCCCCCCCAUGGCAGGAGAAAAAAGUCCAUUUUUUCUUGUCCCCUAAGGUGAAAAUUCACACUAUUGACUGUCACGCCUGUACGCUUUGUCAAAAUUACACAAAAAUUGACACACACAUGUAUCUCAAUAAGAUCUACAAAAAAGUCAGUGCGGGCGUAUCUGUCAAAUGUACGGUUAAAGGGUUAUUGCGCAUUUUUUGCCGAUCCGCACACAUUGGAAUUUCGCUAACUCCUCCGAAGGCUUUCGUUCAACCGGCACCACAUUUGCUCAGGCCAAAUUACACCCCAUGGCCAUUAAAAGUUAUUCAAAUCAUGACGCUGCACCCCACGGUUUAGGUUCUAGGGGGCGCCAAAGAUAACCCUAAAAUCCACAUAUUUAAAAGUCUUAUAACUUUUUAUUUUUGUCCUCUCUGGCCUCCAAGUUUUCUAGGAUGAUGCAAUGUCCAGCCAUCAACACAUUUGUGAAGGAAUUUUUACUCCCUAAAAGAGCGCCCCCCCAUGGCAGGAGAAAAAAGUCCAUUUUUUAUUGUCCCAUAAGGUGAAAAUACACAUUGUUGACUGUCAUACCUGUAUGCUUUGUCAUAUUGACACAAAAUUUGACACACACAUGUAUCUCAAUAAGAUCUACGAAAAAGUCAAUGCGCGCGUAUCUGUAAAAUGUACGGUUAAAGGGCUAUUUUGCAUUUUUUGCCGAUUAGCACACAUUGGAAUGUGGCUAACUCCUCCUAAGGCUUUCGUCCCACUGACACCAAAUUUGCUCAGGCCAAUCUACACCCCAUGGCCAUUCAAAGUUUUAAAAAUCAUGACGCUGCACCCCACGGUUUACGUUCUAGGGGGCGCCAAAGAUGACCCAAAUAUCCACAUUCUUAAAAGAAUCCACAUCCCUUCCCCCCCUCCCAUCCCCCAUCCCCCAUGGCAGGAGAAACAGUCAAGUUUUUCCUGCCCAUCACUCAAUGGCUCAAUCGCAUCGCUCUCCCGGCAACACCGUAACGAGGAGCAACUUGCCGUUUGGAUAUAUCCUAGCUGUGUUUGUGCCCUCACUCAUGGUCCAGACUUUUUUCAAAUAGGACAUGGAGUUUGUCUGCAGCGAGUGUUUUGGUAGAAACUGCGCCUCCCAUUCAUUAUAAUGGGAAAUGACCACAGACAAGUGCGCACACCAUCUUUGGACCUUGAGUGUGACGCGAUCGGGAGGGGGAGGCGGUCGCACUGGGGGCGGCGCAACGCGGCUCGGGC